CAGGGAGACAAUAAAUUGAUUGUGAUGUCUAAGUUAUUUAUUCUUAGGCCGCAAUCCUGUCACCUUAAGGUCGAUCGGUACCUCAGAUUUUUGAAUUAGUUUUAUAAUUGAUUCUUUGAUUUCAGUUCCUAAACUUGUCUAGGUCACACCCAACAAAGGUUUCUCCUGGGCCAUUAGCUCAGGUGGUUAGAGCGCACCCCUGAUAAGGGUGAGGUCCCUGGUUCAAGUCCAGGAUGGCCCAUUCGUUGUUGGGGGUAUAGCUCAGUUGGUAGAGCGCCUGCUUUGCAAGCAGGAUGUCAGCGGUUCGAGUCCGCUUACCUCCACUGAAAACUAUCCUGAUAACUAAAUUUCUGGAGAAAAAGAUUGUAGAUGUGGCUUAGAUUUGUCUAUUUGAAAAGAACCUAGCUUCUUGUCAUCUUUUUAUAGUUGAUAAAAUGCUGGGCUCGCAUGGAUUAUUUCCAUGAGAAUUCAGUAGAACCUUGAAAACUGCAUAGAUUAGAAAGAAUAAAGCAUCUCAUGGAUGCAUAGUUCUGUUUUGAUAAUUUAGCCUUAAAACUAAAUUAUUUAAUUCUAGAAUUCAUGUUUAAUUCUUGAGUAAUAGCCGAGCACAAUUGAUUUUGUGAUUGUAUUUAA
rnacentral:tRNA from 1 species